CUCACAGGCAGUCACACACUCACACAGAGACAGUCACACACUCACAGACAGUCACACACUCACAGGCAGUCACACACUCACACAGGGACAGUCACACACUCACAGGCAGUCACACACUCACAGGCAGUCACACACUCACACAGUCACACACUCACAGACAGUCACACAGAGACAGUCACACACACACAGAGACAGUCACACACUCACAGGCAGUCACACACUCACAGGCAGUCACACAGAGACAGUCAAACACUCACAGGCAGUCACACAGAGACAGUCACACACACACAGUCACACACUCACACAGAGACAGUCACACACUCACAGGCAGUCACACAGAGACAGUCACACACUCACACAGACAGUCACACACUCACA